GAUGAACGCUGGCGGCGUGCCUAAUACAUGCAAGUCGAGCGAACAGACGAGGAGCUUGCUCCUCUGACGUUAGCGGCGGACGGGUGAGUAACACGUGGAUAACCUACCUAUAAGACUGGGAUAACUUCGGGAAACCGGAGCUAAUACCGGAUAAUAUAUUGAACCGCAUGGUUCAAUAGUGAAAGACGGUUUUGCUGUCACUUAUAGAUGGAUCCGCGCCGCAUUAGCUAGUUGGUAAGGUAACGGCUUACCAAGGCAACGAUGCGUAGCCGACCUGAGAGGGUGAUCGGCCACCCUGGAACUGAGACACGUUCCAGACUCCUACGGGAGGCAGCAGUAGGGAAUCUUCCGCAAUGGGCGAAAGCCUGAGGAGCAACGCCGCGUGAGUGAUGAAGGUCUUCGGAUCGUAAAACUCUGUUAUUAGGGAAGAACAAAUGUGUAAGUAACUAUGCACGUCUUGACGGUACCUAAUCAGAAAGCCACGGCUAACUACGUG
rnacentral:rRNA from 1 species